rnacentral:rRNA from 1 species
UCCUGGAAGAACACCAGGUUGAUAGGUCAGAGAUGUAAGCAUGGCAACAUGUUAAGUUGACUGAUACUAAUAAGUCGAGGGCUUGACCAAAUAA